GCUGAUUUGCUGCCAUCCAUCCACUUUUCUAUCCACCCCACAAGCAUUGGGCACAAUGAAGUGGGUAACCUUUAUUUCCCUUCUCUUCCUUUUCAGCUCUGCUUAUUCUAGGGGUGUGUUUCAUCAAGAAGCACACAAGAGUGAGAUUGCUCAUCGAUUUACAGAUUUGGGAGAAGGACAUUUCAAAGGCCUGUAAGUUAAAGAAUCAACAUUAAUGUUCUUGAUAGCAUUGGUUACUACUCUGAAGUCGUCAUAUUCCAGAUU
rnacentral:lncRNA from 1 species